GGACCACAGCUCUUUGAUUCCUUCUUCCACCUCCUCCCGAAUAUAUACAUAUGUACAUUUUGAAUGUCUGUAUUUUAGAAUAUCAGCUGCUAGAGGAUUUGUGUCGGUGUUGUUUCAUUCCCCUCAUCGCGCUGGUUUCUUCGUCGACCCUCAAUGAACGUUAAAUAAAUCCGCUCGUCGAUCGUCAGCCGAGCUGUCGUCGCUGCACAGCCACAGGUGGAUGAGGUUCGGAGCAGGUUGUGUUUCACACGGUGACAGUGGGGGAGAGAAGAGGAAGAACAGGGCGGUGGCAUCGUGUUGAUCCUCUGUCUUGUCACUCGUUUGAAUACCGAGCGCUUCAAUUCAACCGGGAGAGCCUCGAACACUCACAGCCGCGCAUCCCCGUGUGUGUGUGUGUGGUGUGUGUGUGUGUGUGUGUGUGUGUGUGUGUGUGUGUGUAUCUCGUCAAUAACUCAAACAUGGAAAUAUACCACAAAGUACCACUUCAAGCACCUAAGUGUCUCUAUAUGAAUCUACAAUUUACAGUGAUCUGGUUGAAACGAAAGCAUAACGAUAUUCUCUAUUUUUGUCUGUAUCCCGUCUCGAUAAAGUGCUGAGCUAUUUGUGCAUUCAUACUUUUUAAGUUAUUGCUGCUAUGACAGAUAUAUAUAUGUCAUACUGAAUGGACUUUUGAAAACCAAGAGCAUGUGAACUACUGUUCUGAUGGAUCGCUGUGAUAUGAAUUUAUUUGGAUUUAAAUGUUGAAUAAAAUGUGUGACACGUGGAA